rnacentral:rRNA from 1 species
AGCUUUUUGAGUUUUAAUAAAAAGUGUUUUCUGCUCAAUGAUUUUUAAAUGGCCGCGGUAAUUUGACCGUGCAAAGGUAGCAUAAUCACUUGCCCCAUAAUUGGGGGCUGGAAUGAAUGGGACUACAAGAUCCUUGCUUUAUUAGAGAAAAAAAAAUAAUUUUCUUUUCUAGUGAAGAAGCUAGAAUUUAAAUGUGGGACAAGAAGACCCUUUUGAGCUUUAUUAUUUAUUUUUUUGAAAAAUUUUAAUAAUUUGGUUGGGGCGACCGAGGAAGGCUAAAUCUUCCUUAAAUAACUAUGAUCUGUUGUUUUCGAUUGAAGGAAUAAGCUACCUAAGGGAUAACAGCGUAAUUUUUUUUGUGAGUUCUUAUUUAAAAAAAAGAUUGCGACCUCGAUGUUGACUUAUAAUUUCCUUUUGGUGUAGCAGCUAAUACGGUAGGUCUGUUCGACCUUUAAAAUUUU